UUUGAUUUAGGAUUUAGGGUUUGGUUAGGGUUUGGUUUAGGAUUUGGGAUUUGGAUUAGGAUUUAGGAUUUGGAUAGGAUUUGAUUUAGGGUUUAGGGUUUGAUUAGGAUUUGGUUUAGGAUUUAGAUUAGGGUUUGGUUUAGGAUUUGGUUUAGGAUUUAGUUUAGGAUUUAGGGUUUGGAUUAGGGUUUGAUUUAGAAUUUGGUUUAGGAUUUGGUUUAGGAUUUAGUAUUUGGAUUAGGAUUUGGUUUAGAAUUUGGUUUAGGGUUUGGUUAAGGGUUUAGGGUUUGGAUUAGGAUUUGAUUUAAGGUUUGGUUAGAGUUUGAUUUAGGAUUUAGGAUUUGGUUAGGAUUUGAUUUAGGGUUUAGGAUUUUAUUAGGAUUUAAGAUUCAAUUAGUUUGGCUUAAAAUUUGAAUGAAUUUCAAUAGGAUUUUAAUUAGAAUUAAAUUAAGAUUGAAUUGAGAUGUAUUUGAAUGACAUUUGUGUUCUUUCUAAUGUUUCUUUAAAAAUUCUUAUUAUUUUUUUGAAAUUUCUUUGAGGUUUUUUUAAAUUUGAUUAAGCUUGUUUAAUAUUAUUAUAGUCUAAUUAGAGUAUUGUUAGUAUUCUAUUAGAAUUAGG
rnacentral:lncRNA from 1 species